GACGUAGGAGGCGAGCGUUUGUCCGGAGUUACUGGGCGUAAAGCGCGCGCAGGCGGCCCUGUGCGCUGCCGGUGAAAGCUCCCGGCUUACCUGGGAGAGGUUCGGCAGGACGGCAGGGCUGGAGGGUGGGAGAGGUCGGUGGAAUUCCCGGUGUAGUGGUGAAAUGCGUAGAGAUCGGGAGGAACACCCGUAGCGAAGGCGGCCGACUGGACCACACCUGACGCUGAGGCGCGAAGGCCAGGGGAGCGAACGGG
rnacentral:rRNA from 1 species